rnacentral:rRNA from 1 species
GCAAGUCGAACGCAGUAGCAAUACUGAGUGGCAAACGGAUGAGUAUAAUGUGGGAAUCUGCCUUUUGGUUUGGAAUAACACGGGGAAACUUGUGCUAAUACCGGAUAAGCCCUUACGGGGAAAGUUUUAACGCCGAAAGAUGAGCCUGCACUUGAUUAGCUAGCUGGUAAGGUAAAAGCUUACCAAGGCGACGAUCAAUAGCUGUUCUUAGAGGAAGACCAGCCACAUUGGGACUGAGACACGGCCCAGACUCCUACGGGAGGCAGCAGUGGGGAAUCUUGCACAAUGGGGGAAACCCUGAUGUAGCGAUGCCGCGUGAGUGAAGAAGGCCUUUGGGUUGUAAAACUCUUUCGUCGGGGAAGAAAAUGACUGUACCCGAAUAAGAAGGUCCGGCUAACUUCGUGCCAGCAGCCGCGGUAAUACGAAGGGACCUAGCGUAGUUCGGAAUUACUGGGCUUAAAGAGCUCGUAGGUGGUUAAAAAAGUUGAUGGUGAAAUCCCAAGACUCAACCUUGGAACUGCCAUCAAAACUUUUUAGCUAGAGUGUGAUAGAGGUAAGUGGAAUUUCUAGUGUAGAGGUGAAAUUCGUAGAUAUUAGAAAGAACACCAAAUGCGAAGGCAACUUACUGGGUCACUACUGACACUGAGGAGCGAAAGCAUGGGUAGCGAAGAGGAUUAGAUACCCUCGUAGUCCAUGCCGUAAACGAUGUGUGCUAGACGUUGGAAAUAUAUUUUUCAGUGUCGCAGCGAAAGCAUUAAGCACACCGCCUGGGGAGUACGACCG